rnacentral:rRNA from 1 species
AGAACGAACGCUGGCGGCAUGCCUAACACAUGCAAGUCGAACGAGACCUUCGGGUCUAGUGGCGCACGGGUGCGUAACGCGUGGGAAUCUGCCCUUGGGUUCGGAAUAACAGUUGGAAACGACUGCUAAUACCGGAUGAUGACGUUAAGUCCAAAGAUUUAUCGCCCAGGGAUGAGCCCGCGUAGGAUUAGCUAGUUGGUGAGGUAAAGGCUCACCAAGGCGACGAUCCUUAGCUGGUCUGAGAGGAUGAUCAGCCACACUGGGACUGAGACACGGCCCAGACUCCUACGGGAGGCAGCAGUGGGGAAUAUUGGACAAGUGGGCGAAAGCCUGAUCAGCAAUGCCGCGUGAGUGAUGAAGGCCUUAGGGUUGUAAAGCGUACUUUACCGGGAUCGAAUAAUGACAGUAACCGGAGAAUAGCUCCGCUAACGUCCGUGCCAGCUACGCCGUAC